rnacentral:rRNA from 1 species
UACGUAGGGUGCGAGCGUUGCCCGGAUUUAUUGGGCGUAAAGGGCGCGUAGGCGGCCACGCACGUCCGUUGUGAAAUCGCCCGGCUCAACUGGGCGGGGUCAGCGGAUACGGUGUGGCUCGAGCAAGCUAGGGGGCAAUGGAAUUCCCGGUGUAGUGGUGGAAUGCGUAGAUAUCGGGAGGAACACCAGUGGCGAAGGCGGUUGCCUGGAGCUUUGCUGACGCUGAGGUGCGAAAGCGUGGGGAGCAAACAGG